AGCGAACGCUGGCGGCAGGCCUAACACAUGCAAGUCGAACGGACCCUUCGGGGUUAGUGGCGGACGGGUGAGUAACACGUGGGAACGUGCCUUUAGGUUCGGAAUAGCUCCUGGAAACGGGUGGUAAUGCCGAAUGUGCCCUUCGGGGGAAAGAUUUAUCGCCUUUAGAGCGGCCCGCGUCUGAUUAGCUAGUUGGUGAGGUAAUGGCUCACCAAGGCGACGAUCAGUAGCUGGUCUGAGAGGAUGACCAGCCACACUGGGACUGAGACACGGCCCAGACUCCUACGGGGGGCAGCAGUGGGGAAUCUUGCGAAAUGGGCGAAAGCCUGACGCAGCCAUGCCGCGUGAAUGAUGAAGGUCUUAGGAUUGUAAAAUUCUUUCACCGGGGACGAUAAUGACGGUACCCGGAGAAGAAGCCCCGGCUAACUUCGUGCCAGCCGCCGCGGUAA
rnacentral:rRNA from 1 species